rnacentral:rRNA from 1 species
CCUACGGGAGGCAGCAGUAAGGAAUAUUGGUCAAUGGAGGCAACUCUGAACCAGCCAUGCCGCGUGCAGGAAGACGGCCCUAUGGGUUGUAAACUGCUUUUGAACUAGAGAAAACCUUGGUACGUGUACCGAGUUGAUAGUAUAGUUAGAAUAAGCAUCGGCUAACUUCGUGCCAGCAGCCGCGGUAAGACGAAGGAUGCAAGCGUUAUCCGGAUUCAUUGGGUUUAAAGGGUGCGUAGGCGGACUGAUAAGUCAGUGGUGAAAUCUCUCAGCUUAACUGAGAAACUGCCAUUGAUACUGUUAGUCUAGAGUACAGAUGAUGUGGGCGGAAUAUGACAUGUAGUGGUGAAAUACUUAGAUAUGUCAUAGAACACCGAUUGCGAAGGCAGCUCACAAAACUGUAACUGACGCUGAGGCACGAAAGUGCGGGGAUCAAACAGGAUUAGAUACCCUGGUAGUCCGCACCGUAAACGAUGAUUACUCGUUGUUGGCGAUAUGACAGUCAGCGACCAAGCGAAAGCGAUAAGAAUCCACCUGGGGAGUACGCCGGCAACGGUGAAACGUCAAAUGAAUUGACGGGCGNGAGGACGNGCGACGGACGACGACGAGGGGAGGAGG